AACGAACGCUGGCGGCGUGGCUAAGACAUGCAAGUCGAACGGGUCUGUUAAUUUAUUAGCAGAUCAGUGGCGAAAGGGUGAGUAAUGGAUAGGUAACGUGCCCCGUACUCUGGGAUAGCCAUCCGAAAGGGUGGGUAAUACCGGAUGAUAUCACCGGCUGACGGGUCGGUGAUCAAAGAUUUAUCGGCGCGGGAGCGGCCUAUCUCCUAUCAGCUAGUUGGUGAGGUAACGGCCCACCAAGGCGAAGACGGGUAGCGGGACUGAGAGGUUGGCCCGCCACAUCGGAACUGAGAUACUGUCCGGACCCCCACGGGGGGCUGCAGUAACGGAUCUUGGGCAAUGGGCGAAAGCCUGACCCAGCGACGCCGCGUGCGGGAGGAAGUCCUUCGGGAUGUAAACCGCUGUCAGGGGUAAGAAAGUCCGUUUCGGCGGAUUGAUCGAACCCAGAGGAAGUCACGGCUAACUCUGUG
rnacentral:rRNA from 1 species